rnacentral:rRNA from 1 species
CCGGCGACCGGCGCACGGGUGAGUAACACGUAUGCAACCUGGCCGCCACAGGGGAUAACCCGCGGAAACGCGGCCUAAUACCCCGUGACGCCACCGGAGGGCAUCCUCCGGUGGCCAAAGGAGCGAUCCGGUGGCGGAUGGGCAUGCGGCGCAUUAGCUAGACGGCGGGGUGACGGCCCACCGUGGCGACGAUGCGUAGGGGUUCUGAGAGGAAGGCCCCCCACACUGGGACUGAGACACGGCCCAGACUCCUACGGGAGGCAGCAG